rnacentral:tRNA from 1 species
GCUUAAAAAGCUUUGUAGAAGCGGUGGUCUUGUAAAUCACAGAUACCUUUAGGUUUUUAGCU